rfam:Ipomoea nil DNA, scaffold: scaffold2792, cultivar: Tokyo-kokei standard.
GUCAGGAUGGCUAAGUGGUCUAAGGGGCUAGAUUCAAGUUCUAGUCCUCGUAUGAGGGUGUAGGUUCUAAUCCCACUUUUGACA